GGAUAUAAGAUUUGGCUGCGACAUUGGUCGCCCCAUGGAUCACCAGGUUGAUUGGCUGAUGUGACUGUCUAGGUAGGUGUCCUCUUCCUCCCUCAGCACUCCAUGUAUGUCCCUCCCAAAGCUGUGUGCUCAGUCGAAGAGGACGACCAUCCCCGAUAGAGGAGGACCAGUCUCUGGUCAAGGGUAUACAAGUAGCUGCGCUCCCCUGCUAGCACCCCCAAACAAGCUCUCACUUUAUUCAUUAUGGAAGGACUGUCAAAUGCCAUCAUUUUGUGUAGAUGAACUUGGACGUUUCAUGUUAAAAAAACAU
ensembl:misc_RNA 7SK 7SK RNA